rnacentral:rRNA from 1 species
CCUACGGGAGGCAGCAGUGAGGAAUUUUCCGCAAUGGGCGAAAGCCUGACGGAGCAAUACCGCGUGAGGGAUGAAGGAUUUUGGUCUGUAAACCUCUUUUCUCAAGAAAGAAGUUCUGACGGUACUUGAGGAAUAAGCAUCGGCUAACUCCGUGCCAGCAGCCGCGGUAAUACGGGGGAUGCAAGCGUUAUCCGGAAUGAUUGGGCGUAAAGCGCCUGUAGGUUGUUUAUUAAGUCCGUUGUUAAAGCCUAGGGCUCAACCCUAGAAAAGCAAUGGAAACUAGUAGACUAGAGUAUGGCAGGGGUAGAGGGAAUUUCUAGUGUAGCGGUGAAAUGCGUAGAUAUUAGAAAGAACACCGGUGGCGAAAGCGCUCUACUGGACCAUUACUGACACUCAGAGGCGAAAGCUAGGGUAGCAAAAGGGAUUAGAUACCCCUGUAGUCCUAGCCGUAAACGAUGGAUACUAGAUGUUGUGCAUUAUGUACAGUAUCGUAGCUAACGCGUUAAGUAUCCCGCCUGGGGAGUACGCUCGCAAGGGUGAAACUCAAAUGAAUUGACCGGNUGNGAGNGCGACGACGACGACGAGGGAGAG